rnacentral:ncRNA from 2 species
AAGACUUUCAUUCAUAUAGGUUCCGUUUUUUAGGGAUUAAAAGGGAAGAGCCGUUAGAAGCGGUCGUGGUCCCGCCGCUGUGAGUGGGGACGAAACUAACAGCCCUGCCGAAAAGAGGCCAGGGUAAAGCCACUGCCUUAUUUCAGUAAGGUGGGAAGGCGUUGGUAGUAGGGUGAUCCACAAGCCAGAAGACCUGCCUAUAUGAUGGUCGCUAA